rnacentral:rRNA from 1 species
GACGAACGCUGGCGGCGUGCCUAAUACAUGCAAGUAGAACGCACAGUUUAUACCGUAGCUUGCUACACCAUAGACUGUGAGUUGCGAGCGGGUGAGUAACGCGUAGGUAACCUGCCUGGUAGCGGGGGAUAACUAUUGGAAACGAUAGCUAAUACCGCAUAAUAUUGAUUAUUGCAUGAUAAUUUUUUGAAAGAUGCUAUUGCAUCACUACCAGAUGGACCUGCGUUGUAUUAGCUAGUAGGUGAGGGAAAGGCUCACCUAGGCGGCGAGACAUAGCCGACCUGAGAGGGUGAGCGGCCACACUGGGACGGAGACACGGCCCAGAGGCAUACGGGAGGCAGCAGUAGGGAAUCUUGGGCCAGGGGCGAAAGUCUUACCGAGAUACGCCGCGUGAGCGUAGAAGGUUUUCGGAUGGUAAAGGUCUGUUGUAAGGGAAGAACGGGUGUGAGAGUGGAAAGUUCACACUGUGACGGUAUCUGACCAGAAAGGGACGGCUAACUACGUG